GACGAACGCUGGCGGCGUGCUUAACACAUGCAAGUCGAACGGAAAGGCCCUGCUUUUGUGGGGUGCUCGAGUGGCGAACGGGCGAGUAACACGUGAGUAACCUGCCCUCGACUUUGGGAUAACUUCAGGAAACUGGGGCUAAUACCGGAUAGGAGCUCCUGCUGCAUGGUGGGGGUUGGAAAGUUUCGGCGGUUGGGGAUGGACUCGCGGCUUAUCAGCUUGUUGGUGGGGUAGUGGCUUACCAAGGCUUUGACGGGUAGCCGGCCUGAGAGGGUGACCGGCCACAUUGGGACUGAGAUACGGCCCAGACUCCUACGGGAGGCAGCAGUGGGGAAUAUUGCACAAUGGGCGGAAGCCUGAUGCAGCAACGCCGCGUGCGGGAUGACGGCCUUCGGGUUGUAAACCGCUUUCGCCUGUGACGAAGCGUGAGUGACGGUAAUGGGUAAAGAAGCACCGGCUAACUACGUG
rnacentral:rRNA from 1 species